CAUUUAAUAUCCAUCUUUUAACCUUUUAAAUAUAGCUAACGGAUUUGCGUCUGUUGUUAAUGUUGGUUACUAUGCAGUUGUAUCAACAAAGAAAUACAUUCAUGGGGAAAGUCAAGAGGAAGCAGUGGAGUGAGGUGGACAUUUUUCUAUGCCAUGGAGGACUGUGGGGCAGGGAUGGCUAUCCACCAGGCUGCCAAGGUGCAUGGUGUACCUCUGCAGACCCUGGUGGACAGGCUGAGCAGCCGGGUGACCCAUGGUUGUAGCAGUGGACCACCCACAUUGCUUGCACCAGAGGAUGAAAAUGAUCUGGUGCAGUACUGUAUCUACUGCACCAGCCAUGGGUUCCCCUUCACCAGACAGAGGCUGAUGAAGUACGCAGUACAGAAAAGGAAAAGAAAAGCUCCACCUGCCUGAAAACUACCCGCAAAAGUGUGAGUCUGAGGUGCCAGGUGUGUGCUGUGACUUCUGCCAGUACUGGUUCCACUGCAGGUGUGUGCUGUGACUUCUGCCAACACUGGUUCCACUGCAGGUGUGUGCUGUGACUUCUGCCAACACUGGUUCCACUGCAGGUGUGUGCUGUGACUUCUGCCAGUACUGGUUCCACUGCAGGUGUGUGCUGUGACUUCUGCCAACACUGGUUCCACUGCAGGUGUGUGCUGUGACGGUGGAGCUGGAUUUUAAUUGUGAUUUCUGUGACAAUAUAGGGAUGGUGGUUGAGAUAUAAUUGUUUGUUUUCAUAUGCAAUUAUUUAUUUGUAAAAAUAAUGACAUGUCUAAAAUAUAAUAUAUAUUUAUUCAA
rnacentral:lncRNA from 1 species